GAUGUCUCAUGCCUAUAACCCCAGCACUUUGGGAGACUGAGGUGGGCGGAUCACCUGAGGUCGGGAGUUUGAGACCAGCCUGAACAACAGGGAGAAACCCCGUCUCUACUAAAAAUACAAAAUUAGCCGGGUGUGGUGGCGGAUGGCUGUAAUCCCAGCUACUCAGGAGGCUGAGGCAGGAGAAUCACUUGAAUGUGGGAGGUGGAGGUUGCAGUGAGCCGAGAUGCACCAUUGCACUCCAGCCUGAGCAACAAGAGCAAAACUUCAUCUCAAAAAAAAAAAAAAAAGUAAAACAAAAAAGCGUAAGAUACACUAAGAUGAUAACUAUUACAAUAUGUGGGCUCACCUCAUCCCAACCUUUGCCAGAUAGAUAACAUCCUCAGAAAAGUGAAACAGUCAGUUAUUGAGGUGCUACGAUUAUGGGUGUUUUGGUUUUGUCCUUUUCAAAAAAAAUCUGCUGUUGUUACAUUUUUCUUUUUGCAACUUUUUUAAAGUACAGAAGAAAGAAGACACAUUCCAGGAGUCUCAUUCAAACCAAAUAAGAGUUCUGUGAUUACUAUGAAGGCUAUGUGUGUGAGAAGAAUAUAUUAGCUUAGUGAACAUGCUGUGCAAUCUCAAGUGAGUCACACUCCCUCUCUGGGCCACAAUCCUGAACAUGCGGGAUGUCACCUGCUAUACCUGCCAAAUGUGGGGUCCUCCAUAGGCAAGAGCACUGGCAAAGUCAAGCCUUUCUGCUCUUCAUAUGAUACAAACUUUUAAGAACACCUAUUUUUAAAUUUUUAUUUAUUUAUUUAUUUUUGAGAGGGAGUCUCACUCUGUUGCCCAGCCUGCAGUGCAGUGGUGCAAUCUUGGCUCACUGCAACAUCCACCUCCCAAAUUCAAGGGAUUCACGUGCCUCAGCCUCCCAAGUAGCUGGAAUGACAGGCACACAACACCACACACAGCUAAUUUUUUUAUUUUAAGUAGAGACAGGGGUCUCACCAUGUUGCCCAGGCUGGUCUCUAACUCCUGACCUCAAGUGAUCCACCCGCC
rnacentral:lncRNA from 1 species